UUUUGCCUCAAUACUUUAAUACAAUGAAAAUAUAUAUGAUACUAUAUUAUUAAUAUGAUAAACUUGCCUGACAAUAUUGUUAACAUGGUUACACGUAUAGUUUUGGAAUUUUCCCAGUCAGACGUCACUCAAUUGUCGGUGUUUGUUGGGGCGGUGUGAACAUGACAGUUUUUUUCUCAUCGAAUUCUAAAUCCAACGGCCAACUUGUUCGUUGGCGUUUGUUGGUGUUUGUUGGCGUUUGUCAGUGCGGUGUGAAUUGGCCUUUAAAGGGACUUUGCUACAAUCCAGAAGGGGCGUGCGCGAUCGCUGUAUAGGCACCUCAGUUCAAACGGCAGCGCAGAGCGCGAAUGAACGUGAUCAUCCCUUCCUCUUCACUACUACAGAAUGAGCAUGAAUGAACAUGAAGAGAGUCUUUCCAGGUUGCUGUUGAGGACAAACUGCUUCACGCUGUCUCCGCUCAGGGGGAAAAAUGGGCUACCGGAGCGUCCGAGUGCUCUUUCUGACGAAGAGAGAUGGGUGUGUGACAGAAAGGGUAAUAUAUUAGUUCACGUACAGAAGUAGUCUCACAUGACCCUCUCAUGAGGGAAUACCGGUGGAAUAUCGAAAUAGCUUUGAUUUUGAAAGGACUCAACAUUCUCGACAUAACAUGACUAUGAUUUUGUCUUACUCAUUGUAAUUCAGGCCGGCAUGUAGUCAAGGUUAUAUUCAAAGCUGAUGCAACAAAGGCCUUGAAAGGAGACGCUAAAACUAGGUCUUUCAGUCUUGAUUGUAUUCUGUUUCAACAGUUUGGAAAUGUUUUCAUCCUCAAUCUGCUAAAGUUUCUAAUUUACCAGUCACAGUAAUGUUAGCCAUUAUUCUGGCAGGUUUAGCAAUUGUUUAACACAAACCCCCUUUUGUUAACACCAACACCAGCAAAAUAAUAUUGUCAUAUGUUUAAUGCUGAUUUUAAUUUUAAUACUUUUUAAUGCUGCUUUAACUUCCACACAGUAGUGUUAACCCUCUGGGGUCUGAGGAUUUUUGGGGCCCUGGAGAAGUUUUGACAUGCCCUGACAUUUGUGCUUUUUUCAGUU